AGCGCGGCCGCGCCCUCCAGAAGUGCUCCGGGCCGAUUUUUACAGCUUUUUUGAUGGAUUUUCGCAGCGGACGAGGCCCGGUUGACUUAGUCAAAGCAUUUUAAUUUCUCAAGUGUAAAAACCCUAGCCUCCAAGUAGUUUUAGUAUCGUAGAAUAUCGGAUUAUAGUUUUAUCAGUUUUUCUCUUGUAAUCAAGCACAUUAUCAGUUUUGUAUUGGAUCGUUCUUCGCGAGGAAGUGACAGUUUCGAGCGAGAUCGUGAACAUCAAAUCUGUAACGUUGUGUUC
rnacentral:lncRNA from 1 species